GGCUGCUUCAGUCUGUGGCCCUCCAGCAGGUAGUCGUAGAUCUCAUGGUUCUGCACCCCGGGAUAGGGCGUCAUGCCUCGGGUGGAAAUCUCCCACAUGGUGACUCCAAACGCCCACUGCAUGAAACACAGUGUUCUUCAGAGGAAACGCUCACCACAUCGCUCUUAAUGGUGAACACCCGGUCAGCGAGGCUCUCCAUCGCGAUCCACUUCACGGGCAUCUUGGCGAUGCGACCCUGCCGGUAGUAGUCCCCGCUGUAGAUCUUCUUGGACAGGCCGAAAUCAGCCACGCACACCGACAUGUCGUCACGCAGCCUAUCAGAGGAAUGGAGAAUUACAGAUUGGUCUAAAUCUGGGAUUAUAUUGUCCUAUGUUUUGCUUUAGCUUUCUGCUAAAUCUUAAAUACAUUGCAUUUUCUAAAAAGCUUUUUUAACUUUGCCUUUAUUUUCUAUUUUAAUAUUAAAAUGACUUUUUUAACUUUCUAUUUUACCCAUUUCUUUGCAUAUGUUUUCUUUUACUUAUCUAUUAUUUUAUUUUAUUGUAUGACAAUGUUUAUAUGUGAAGCACUUUGAGUCUGCCUUGUGUAUGAAUAGUGAUAUAUAAAUAAAGUUGCCUUGCCUUGCCUUGCCUAAAUUAAUGUUGAAAUCAUGUCAAUCUGCACCGAUAUAUUGUCCCCUGAUUUAUAUCGGGCAAUAUCGGCCGAAUUGAGCAAUGCCUGUAUUGUUUGGUGGUGAGGCAGAUAUUAAUGGUUGAUAAAUGUUUUUUUAUAAAUAAAUAAAUAAAAAUGUCUGA